rnacentral:rRNA from 1 species
UACAGAGGUCCCAAGCGUUGUUCGGAUUUACUGGGCGUAAAGGGUGCGUAGGCGGUCGGGUAAGUCUCAUGUGAAAUCUCCAAGCUCAACUUGGAAAUGGCAUGGGAUACUAUUCGGCUAGAGGAUUGGAGGGGGGACUGGAAUUCCCGGUGUAGCAGUGAAAUGCGUAGAUAUCUGGAGGAAUACCGGUGGCGAAGGCGGCAUCCUGGACCGGCAUUGACGCUGAGGAGCGAAAGCCAGGGGAGCAAACGGG